rnacentral:lncRNA from 1 species
UCACUAUAGAGCGGUGAAGUCGACUAGUGACUAGUUCACACAACCCCUACUGCUCCCCAGAGUGUUCUGCAGCAUAAUCAGCACGUUCUCUUUGAACUUGAUAUCAAAUUUUUGCCUCCUCUUCGUCUUCGCAUGGUUAAAGUUACCCUCGCGGUCUUUCACUGGCAAAUCAAAAGUGAGACGGAUGACACAACCGCCCCCCGUACUUGCUUGUUACCACAUUCCACCCGGCCACAAUAAAAAAAAAAAAAAGGCCAUUAUUCACCUCCGCCGACUCCGACACCGGCCAAAAUAUGAUACCCAGCAGUUAAUUAAAUACAGGCUAAUAUUAGAGGACUUACGGUAGUAUGAUAAGAAAGUCUAAAGAUUAAUCUGGGAUGGGGUUUUCCCCCCCCUUUUAUUUCUCCUGAUUUCUUGAAAUGCAAUCUGAUGAUGUUAUAUAGUGCUACAAUGAAACUGCAAAAUUAAGUAUUUACUUGUUAAACUUUGGCAUGCUGCUAGGCAGCUGACUCUAUAUUAUUCUAUAUUUUGUGAGUUAACACAGUUUAUUUUAUUGUUAUGAUUUAUUUACUUGUGUGAGUGGGGCUGACAUAUAUAUGUCAUUUAAGCAUUGCAAGUUGUAUUAUUUUGUGUAAAAUCAUUUUCUUUUAAAAUGAACGAAAUGAAUAAAUAAAUAAAAUUUAGCGACUUUGGAGAGGAAAACCUCCAGUAUGUGCAGCCACUAACCACGACUCACUAGAGGUUUGAGAAAACAGCAGCCAUUCCUCCCCAUCCCCGCAUAUUUCUCUCCUCCUGCUCCCUCACAUCAUCACACAAACAUACACAUAGGACCUUGGGGGGUGGGCAAGUCAGGGAGUGCGGGCAUGGACCCCAUUUCCUCAUUCCUGUGGCAACCUGCCCCCCAAUUUUAUUUGCACCUUAUACACUUCCACUGACGACAUUCCACACAAACACACACUUAGGGCCUUGGGAGUGAGCACAUUCAACGGCAUUUGGCAGGGGGAUAUUUCAGCCUCCUCCGAGUGCCGGUGCCCACUUCCAAUUUUAAACCGCGCUUAGACACUGAUGGCUGAGGGUGUAAGUGGGGUGGUGCGGUGGCAUCAGCUGGCAUAUGCCGGAUGAUGCCCGCACUGCCCACUCACCACAGCCAUGGAAUACACCUCAUGAUCACACAACACUAUAUUGGAGCAGG